rnacentral:rRNA from 1 species
AUGAGGAGCUCCCUCCUAAAGAAGUUUCACCAGAUAUUCUUGUUCCCGGGACAGAAUGAGAAGGAUUAUAAAGAUCCAGAUGAGGACCCGGCAAUGAAGAAGAUAAACAAACACGCCAUGACCAAGUUUAGCGACGCGUUGGCCGCGUGGAAAAAUCGAGUGAAAGCAAGGAUCAUCGACAAGAAGGAACCCUACUCCGAGAUUGUAAAGGAUAAUCCGACAAUCACGGAAGAGCAGUUUCAAAUACUCAAGGAGGCUUGCGAGGCCGAAGAUGCCAAUAAAAAGUCUAAGUACAUGAAGGGGCUUCAAGAGAGGAACAUUGGGAGCCACCACCUCGGAAGCCGUGGUUACGACGGAAAGAGGUCCAAAUGGGCCAAGGAGGACGCAGAAGCAGCGAGUCUGGGCAUCCCAGACCCCUUGGUGAAGUUCACCAUCCCGCAGGAGCAUGACGUCCUCAGGGCCCGGCACCGUUGGGACCCAGUGAAAAAGGUUUACGAGACAACACCGGUCAUUACGGAGUUCAUGAGACUGCUGGUAAUUUUAGUUUCUGAUCAAUUCGACUGCACAUGUUAG